ensembl:lncRNA
AAUGUGUUCCACUAAUUGUAUCUGAUCCUAUGAACACUAUGUUUAAAGUAGAACUGUUGUGUGUAGGACAGUUCUGCCUUUGAGCUUAAGGAAAUCAUUAUAUUAGAUACUGUUACUUCUAUCUGAACCUCACAUCAGUCCGAUGAGAUAAUAGUUUAAAGCCUUUGUUCUAGUACCCCCUUAAAUUCUGCUGUAAGCAGAAGUAUGAAACUUUUGGCUCAACAUUCAGGAAACAGUUACUGUGAUACUUGAGGGAACUCAUAUUAAAAGAAGACUUACAGAAAUGACACAGCCUUUUAGGCAUAGGGACUGUCCUUCUCUUUGUUUAGGGUCAAUUAAAUCCUGUUAAAUUGGUAGUCAGCCAUUUGAAAAAUUUGAUAAAUUCCCUAUGCUGCUGCAGCAAAAAAACAUAGCUCUCUGACUAUCUGAAAGUAUGCCAGUGUUAGUCAGUAGGCAAGAUGGGUUUCCUUGGAAUAAUAUGAGAUGUGACAGCAUGACAUUAAACACAGCGCCAUAAUACAUUGACAUAAAAUUUAACAGGCUGCAUAAUUUGACAUUUUCUAACUUCUGUAUGGAUUAUCUUAGAAAUUAAUCUUUAAGAAGUGUUUGGUUGUUUAUUUCUCUAGACAUGUAAGCAGCAGCCUCACUGGGAUACCUGUUCCAUUUGCAAAACAGAGACAACAUGAAGGUACUUCAUCACGUGUACAAGGACUUGGAUGUGUUACUUUAAGGAUAGGAUGCAGCAGGCUUUCCUCCAGAACUAAGAGAAAGUACUGGAAAAAUUGCAAAUCCUGUUCCUGGGCUGAAAGUGGAUCAUAACAUCCAUAUAAGAUAUUUCCUUAUGUAUCAUCUCUUAAGGUUUCAAGUAACAUGACUGAGGAGAAGGAACAUUAAUCAAGGUGUCAUCUUCCACUUUUCCCUCAGGUCUGUAAAUCACAGCAUCAUUGCCUUGAUGCACUUUAUUUUUAUAGGUUAAAGAAUCCCUUAGGAAUUUUCCAGGGAUGAUGGGUCUUGGAGAGGUUUUUUUCUACCUCUCCUUCUAUACAUAUUUGAUUUCUUUUUUGAGAAUUUGAACACUGAGUUUUCAGAUGAAAAUGAAAGCAUUUUAUUUUCAGGCAAAACAAACAAACAAACAAAAACCCCAACAAGCUACCCUUCCUGUUGAAAUAUUUGUAUUGGGGAAGAAGAUUGCAAAAGAUCACUGAGUGACGGAAAAGAAGAAUUACUAAGUUGUGACUUUCCAGGCUGUUACAGUUGACUGGGUGCUUGUUACUCCAAAGAUGUGUAAGUAAAAUGCUCUGGAGGAAAUCUGUAAUAUAUAAAGUUUGUAAAAGAAGAUUUAGAAUCUAGGACUUCUUAUUAGCCUCCCAGCUGAGUUCUUAGCACUAGUAAAUAAUUCAAUCAAUCAUUGCUUUAGGCUUGAGGAUUCCAUACUAAAAAACAGGCAACUAGAAUUACUUGUUGUGCUUAUAUUUCUUUAGAUAGAUGAAUCUAUGCACUAUCUGAGACCAAAAUCUCCUUUAAAAUAUUCUCACUAGCAAUAUAGUCUCACAAAUCACAGCUGGGGAGGCACUUCCUUCAGACAGGGAUAGAUCACCUUCCUACUACUUGUUUAUGAGAAAAUGCAAUUUAUGUCUAUGUAUACUGCUGACAACAUGAAACCUGCUGCCUGCUCUCCUUUUAUUUAUGGAAUAGAGACAU